rnacentral:rRNA from 1 species
UGUAAAGAUUUUCUUGGGCCGGACGGAGAUCGGCAUUCGAGUGCAAAAACAGAAAGGAGCUUGACUGUAAGACCCACUCGUCGAGCAGGGACGAAAGUCGGCCUCAGU